CCUACGGGUGGCAGCAGUGGGGAAUAUUGGGCAAUGGGCGCAAGCCUGACCCAGCAACGCCGCGUGAAGGAAGAAGGCUUUCGGGUUGUAAACUUCUUUUGUCGGGGACGAAGCAAGUGACGGUACCUUACGAGUAAGCCACGGCUAACUACGUGCCAGCAGCCGCGGUAAUACGUAGGUGGCAAGCGUUGUCCGGAUUUACUGGGUGUAAAGGGCGUGUAGGCGGGGUAGCAAGUCAGAUGUGAAAACCACGGGCUUAACCUGGGCGCUGCGUUUGAAACUGUUUUUCUUGAGUUCUGGAGAGGCAAGCGGAAUUCCGAGUGUAGCGGUGAAAUGCGUAGAUAUUAGGAGGAACACCAGUGGCGAAGGCGGCUUGCUGGACAGUAACUGACGCUGAGGCGCGAAAGUGUGGGGAGCAAACAGGAUUAGAUACCCCAGUAGUC
rnacentral:rRNA from 1 species